UACAUGUGGGGCAAGCGUUGUUCGGAAUUACUGGGCCUAAAGGGUGCGUAGGCGGUUUGUUAAGUCACUGGUGAAAGUUUUCGGCCCAACCGGAAAAUUGCCUGUGAUACUGGCGAACUUGAGUGCGUGAGGGGUGGGGGGAACGAGCAGUGUAGCGGUGAAAUGCGUAGAUAUUGCUCGGAAGGCCGGAGCCGAAGGGGCCCCACUGGUACGUAACUGACGCUGAGGCACGAAAGCGUGGGGAGCAAACAGG
rnacentral:rRNA from 1 species